UAGAGUUUGAUCAUGGCUCAGGACGAACGCUGGCGGCGUGCUUAACACAUGCAAGUCGAGCGGUAAGGCCUUUCGGGGUACACGAGCGGCGAACGGGUGAGUAACACGUGGGUGAUCUGCCCUGCACUUCGGGAUAAGCCUGGGAAACUGGGCCUAAUACCGGAUAUGACCUCCUAUCGCAUGGUGGGUGGUGGAAAGAUUUAUCGGUGCAGGAUGGGCCCGCGGCCUAUCAGCUUGUUGGUGGGGUAAUGGCCUACCAAGGCGACGACGGGUAGCCGACCUGAGAGGGUGACCGGCCACACUGGGACUGAGACACGGCCCAGACUCCUACGGGAGGCAGCAGUGGGGAAUAUUGCACAAUGGGCGAAAGCCUGAUGCAGCGACGCCGCGUGAGGGAUGACGGCCUUCGGGUUGUAAACCUCUUUCAGCAGGGACGAAGCGCAAGUGACGGUACCUGCAGAAGAAGCACCGGCUAACUACGUGCCAGCAGCCGCGGUAAUACGUAGGGUGCAAGCGUUGUCCGGAAUUACUGGGCGUAAAGAGUUCGUAGGCGGUUUGUCGCGUCGUUUGUGAAAACCAGCAGCUCAACUGCUGGCUUGCAGGCGAUACGGGCAGACUUGAGUACUGCAGGGGAGACUGGAAUUCCUGGUGUAGCGGUGAAAUGCGCAGAUAUCAGGAGGAACACCGGUGGCGAAGGCGGGUCUCUGGGCAGUAACUGACGCUGAGGAACGAAAGCGUGGGUAGCGAACAGGAUUAGAUACCCUGGUAGUCCACGCCGUAAACGGUGGGCGCUAGG
rnacentral:rRNA from 1 species